rnacentral:rRNA from 1 species
UACGUAGGGUGCGAGCGUUGUCCGGAAUUAUUGGGCGUAAAGAGCUCGUAGGCGGUGUGUCGCGUCGGCCGUGAAAACCUGGGGCUCAACUCUGGGCGUGCGGUCGAUACGGGCAUCACUUGAGUUCGGCAGGGGAGACUGGAAUUCCUGGUGUAGCGGUGAAAUGCGCAGAUAUCAGGAGGAACACCGGUGGCGAAGGCGGGUCUCUGGGCCGAUACUGACGCUGAGGAGCGAAAGCAUGGGCAGCGAACAGG